rnacentral:rRNA from 1 species
GAUGAACGCUAGCGACAGGCUUAACACAUGCAAGUCGAGGGGCAGCGAGGGCGUAGCAAUACGCCUGUCGGCGACCGGCGCACUGGUGAGUAACACGUAUGCGACCUGCCCCCUACAGGGGUAUAACCCGUAGAAAUGCGGACUAAUCCCCCAUAGUCCUGGGUGCUGCAUGGCAUUCAGGGGAAAGGGUUUUCCGGUAGGGGAUGGGGCAUGCGGCGCAUUAGCUAGUUGGCGGGGCAACGGCCCACCAAGGCGACGAUGCGUAGGGGUUCUGAGAGGAAGGUCCCCCCANACUGGUACUGAGACACGGACCAGACUCCUACGGGAGGCAGCAGUGAGGAAUAUUGGUCAAUGGACGAGAGUCUGAACCAGCCAAGUAGCGUGCAGGAUGACGGCCCUAUGGGUUGUAAACUGCUUUUAUAAGGGAUAAAGUUGGUCUCGUGAGACUUUUUGCAUGUACCUUAUGAAUAGGACCGGCUAAUUCCGUG